ACUAGCAGUAAGAGUUUAAUCCUGGCUCAGAACGAACGCUGGCGGCGCGCUUAACACAUGCAAGUCGAGCGCCUCACCUUCGGGUGGGGAGCGGCGCACGGGUGAGUAACGCGUGGGAACCUACCUUGGGGUUCGGGACAACGGCGGGAAACCGCCGCUAACACCGGCUACGGCCUCGUGAGAGGCGAAAGGUGCUUUCGGGCACCGCCCCGGGACGGGCCCGCGUCCGAUUAGGUCGACGGUGGGGUAACGGCCCACCGUGCCUGUGAUCGGUAGCCGGUCUGAGAGGAUGAUCGGCCACACUGGGACUGAGACACGGCCCAGACUCCUACGGGAGGCAGCAGUGGGGAAUAUUGGGCAAUGGGCGAAAGCCUGACCCAGCCAUGCCGCGUGAGUGACGAAGGCCUUAGGGUUGUAAAGCUCUUUUGGCGGGGACGAUAAUGACGGUACCCGCAGAAUAAGCCCCGGCUAACUUCGUGCCAGCCGCCGCGGUAAUAC
rnacentral:rRNA from 1 species